UACGAAGGGGGCUAGCGUUGCUCGGAAUUACUGGGCGUAAAGCGCACGUAGGCGGCUUUCUAAGUCGGGGGUGAAAUCCUGGAGCUCAACUCCAGAACUGCCUUCGAUACUGGAGAGCUCGAGUCCGGGAGAGGUGAGUGGAACUGCGAGUGUAGAGGUGAAAUUCGUAGAUAUUCGCAAGAACACCAGUGGCGAAGGCGGCUCACUGGCCCGUUUCUGACGCUCAGGCGCGACAGCGUGGGGAUCAAACAGG
rnacentral:rRNA from 1 species